CUAGAGAUAGAAGUUACUUCGGUACAUCGGUGGCAGGUGGUGCAUGGUUGUCGUCAGCUCGUGUCGUGAGAUGUUGGGUUAAGUCCCGCAACGAGCGCAACCCCUAUUGUUAGUUGCCAUCAUUCAGUUGGGCACUCUAGCGAGACUGCCGGUAAUAAACCGGAGGAAGGUGGGGAUGACGUCAAAUCAUCAUGCCCCUUAUGACCUGGGCUACACACGUGCUACAAUGGUUGGUACAACGAGUUGCGAGUCGGUGACGGCGAGCUAAUCUCUUAAAGCCAAUCUCAGUUCGGAUUGUAGGCUGCAACUCGCCUACAUGAAGUCGGAAUCGCUAGUAAUCGCGGAUCAGCACGCCGCGGUGAAUACGUUCCCGGGCCUU
rnacentral:rRNA from 1 species